UGCUAAUAGUUCUGCAUGUGUGGGUGUGUAUGAGCGUGUAUGAGUGUGUGUGUGUGUGGGUGUGAGUGUCUGUGUGUGUGGCUACAUCAAUUAACAUCAAGCUCAACAUAUUUGCAGCAACAAUUCGUUUGUAGAGAGUUAGACGGAGAAAGUCCUACUGCCAAAAUCUAA